UCAAUUUUGAGAAACCUUACUGACCUGAGGGUUACUGACUUGAAUGGAUCUGUUUCGUCAUUUCCACAACUUAAUAAUAUGACGAAUUUGGAAAUACUAAUAUUGAGGAGUUGCAACAUUAU